rnacentral:tRNA from 1 species
UCCUUAGUAGCUCAGUGGUAGAGCGAUCGGCUGUUAACCUACCGGUUGUAGGUUCGAAUCCUACUUGGGAG